UACGUAGGGGGCAAGCGUUGUCCGGAAUUAUUGGGCGUAAAGAGCUCGUAGGCGGUCUGUCACGUCGGAUGUGAAAACUCGGGGCUCAACCCCGAGCCUGCAUUCGAUACGGGCAGACUUGAGUUCGGCAGGGGAGACUGGAAUUCCUGGUGUAGCGGUGAAAUGCGCAGAUAUCAGGAGGAACACCGGUGGCGAAGGCGGGUCUCUGGGCCGAUACUGACGCUGAGAAGCGAAAGCGUGGGGAGCGAACAGG
rnacentral:rRNA from 1 species